UCUGCUCAUUUGUUAUUUCUGAAAGUAUGAAAUGUAUUUCAAUUAACAACUAUUUAUUUAGUUUCUAUUAUGUGCCAACCACUAUAUGAGAAACUAGAUUUCUUUUAAAAAGCAAACAAAAAAGCAGUGAACAAGACAACGUAUCUGUUGUCACGAAGCCUGGAGCCUCAGAGAGGGUUUGAAGCAAUAAACAAACCACGUCAUAUCUCAAUUACAAACCGAGAUCAUUGUUGCCCCAGAAAUAAAUGGAGAGCUUGAGGUUGAACAAUGAAGGUGGGUAGAGGGCAGAGCGAGAGCCAUGUUAAGCCAAUUACAGGAGACCUUGCUGAGGAAGUGACAUUUAAGCAACACCUGAAGGAAGAAAAGGCAACAGCCAUUCAAAUUGCUGGGAAAGGAGCAUAUUUUACGCAGAAAGAACAGCAGUACAGAGGUCCUGGUGUGAAAAAGAAUGUGCCCUAAUCCGUGGGUCUGUCACUGGACACUGGCGAGCAAUGGGAAGGAACGGUGUGACAAGAGCUAGGAGGGCCAGUAUAAGUGAGGCCACGCGGGAUUUUCAGAUUGGGACGUUCUCCACGUGGAACCGGACGCUGCUGCUAACAGCAUAAUGCCAAUUGAUUUUCAUCAUUAAAAGAGCCUCGAGAGACAGGUGAAUUUUCAAAGCUUUUAAAGAAAGUAUAUAUUGAACUUAAUGUAGCCUGAUUGGCACUUUCUCCAAAGACAGUCCUGGUCACUGCAGACAACACUGGGACCUUCAAUAGUCGGAGCUGGAGGCCUUUACCAGAAAGCAGUCCUUCACCUGUAUUUUUGCUCUUUCUUUCACUCCUGAAAUCAACUUUGGUACAAGUAUGAUCCUCAGUUAUCAACCCCUAUCAUACAUCUGUAAAAUUUGGAAAUAAACAGGUGUUUAAAAUA